rnacentral:tRNA from 1 species
AGGUGAGUAGCUCAACUGGCUAGAGCAUCGGACUCCAAAUCCGAAGGUUGCGGGUUCAAGUCCUGCCUCACCUG